rnacentral:rRNA from 1 species
UACGGAAGGGGCAAGCGUUGUUCGGAAUCAUUGGGCGUAAAGGGCGCGCAGGUGGCUCUGUAUGUCUGCCGUGAAAGCAUACAGCUCAACUGUAUUGUGUCGGUAGAAACUGCAGGACUUGAGGCUGGGAGGGGCUGGUGGAAUUCCCUGUGUAGCGGUGAAAUGCGUAGAGAUGGGGGAGAACACUCGUGGCGAAGGCGGCCAGCUAGACCAGUUCUGACACUGAGGCGCGAUAGCGUGGGGAGCAAACAGG